CCUUGUUUAUACCGACACAUAAAGCGCUUUGACCCAGUUCGCUGUGAUUUCGAAACGGAUGCAUAAACUGAAUUUGAAAAGGCGUUGAAAUUGAUAAGUGUAUUGACUCGAAUUUGUUUUCAAAUCGGUUUUUUAUUUCUCACAUCGGUUACAAAACAGGUAUAAACACAUCACUCAUUUGACGCGAAGU